rnacentral:rRNA from 1 species
GACCAGACUCCUACGGGAGGCAGCAGUGGAGAAUAUUGCACAAUGGGGGAAACCCUGAUGCAGCGACGCCGCGUGAGCGAUGAAGUAUUUCGGUAUGUAAAGCUCUAUCAGCAGGGAAGAAGAUGACGGUACCUGACUAAGGAGCCCCGGCUAACUACGUGCCAGCAGCCGCGGUAAUACGUAGGGGGCAAGCGUUAUCCGGAUUUACUGGGUGUAAAGGGGGCGCAGACGGCGAUGCAAGCCAGGAGUGAAAGCCCGGGGCCCAACCCCGGGACUGCUCUUGGAACUGCGUGGCUGGAGUGCAGGAGGGGCAGGCGGAAUUCCUGGUGUAGCGGUGAAAUGCGUAGAUAUUAGGAGGAACACCAGUGGCGAAGGCGGCCUGCUGGACGAUGACUGACGUUGAGGCUCGAAAGCGUGGGGAGCAAACAGGAUUAGAUACCCGAGUA